rnacentral:rRNA from 1 species
UGGGGAAUUUUACGCAAUGGGGGAAACCCUGACGUAGCGACACCGCGUGAGCGAAGAAGCCCCUUGGGGUGUAAAGCUCUGUCAGCUGGAACGAAAAAAAAUGACGGUACCAGCAGAGGAAGCAUCGGCUAACUACGUGCCAGCAGCCGCGGUAAGACGUAGGAUGCGAGCGUUGUCCGGAUUUAUUGGGCGUAAAGAGUUCGUAGGUGGUUUGUCAAGUCUGAUGUUAAAGAUCGGGGCUCAACCCUGGGACUGCAUUGGAUACUGGCAGACUUGAGUGUGGUAGAGGCUAGUGGAAUUCCCAGUGUAGCGGUGAAAUGCGUAGAUAUUGGGAAGAACACCGGUGGCGUAGGCGACUAGCUGGGCCAUAACUGACACUGAGGAACGAAAGCCAGGGUAGCGAAUGGG